rnacentral:lncRNA from 1 species
CUAAAAUUGUAAACCAAACAAUUACCGUAGUUACACAGCAGUAUAGACAGUAUGAAUUGCACUAAAAUUGUACAGGAUAUGCUCUGACAUACCUAUACAUAUAUAUAUAUUGUAUAUUCUUAUCGGUAGAGGUAGAAUACACCGAUCGUUUCACCCAUGUGUUGUAAGAGGCAACUAAAGGGCCCUAAGAUAUGAGCUACCAUGCUGAGAAAACGAAUGGCAGAGAGAAGUCACUAACAGUGCCUCUCCAGAGAUUGGUCAACUCUUGGAGAUGGGGGAAACCAGUGGGAUCUUGUGUGGCAGAAGCAGGCCAUGCCUACAUCAGCUGUUUUUACCUGCCUAUCCAUAAGCCUCUUAUGGAUACUAACAAAUCAAUAAAAUCAAAACCUUUAUUGGCCUUGCUGUCAAAGAGACAGUAUAUACUUGAAAUAUUUUGCCUCUUUGGGAACAAAAUCUCCCAUCAUGUUUCUGAUUGCUCAUUCUUAAUCUGAUAUACCUCUGAGAAAACACUUCUCAUUUUUCAUUGAAAAAUGCAUUUAUGGAAUAUUGUCCAACAUAAAAAAAC